AACGAACGCUGGCGGCAUGCCUAACACAUGCAAGUCGAACGAGACCUUCGGGUCUAGUGGCGCACGGGUGCGUAACGCGUGGGAAUCUGCCCUUGGGUUCGGAAUAACAGCGAGAAAUUGCUGCUAAUACCGGAUGAUGACGUAAGUCCAAAGAUUUAUCGCCCAAGGAUGAGCCCGCGUAGGAUUAGCUAGUUGGUGAGGUAAAGGCUCACCAAGGCGACGAUCCUUAGCUGGUCUGAGAGGAUGAUCAGCCACACUGGGACUGAGACACGGCCCAGACUCCUACGGGAGGCAGCAGUGGGGAAUAUUGGACAAUGGGCGAAAGCCUGAUCCAGCAAUGCCGCGUGAGUGAUGAAGGCCUUAGGGUUGUAAAGCUCUUUUACCCGGGAUGAUAAUGACAGUACCGGGAGAAUAAGCUCCGGCUAACUCCGUGCCAGCAACCGCGGUAAU
rnacentral:rRNA from 1 species